AGAUGCGCAAGUGCUCGCCCACGUUUACAAAUAUUGCCGAGAAGUGUCAGUACUUCAAACGAAAUUAGUUGUUUGUGCGCGUUCAGUGGGGAUUAUCGCUCUUCCUCCAUGGGUCAACGACGAAUGCUUGCUGACGUCUUCAAGUGCUCACGACCGUUUAUGCGCGAUUGGUACAUGUUUAGCAAGCCAUACGCAAAGUAGUGUACGUGUACGUGUGCCUUUGCGAACAGUCUUUGAAGGCCGCAGAUGUUAGGAAAACUGCACACAGACUAGGUCCGAAUAAUUUAGAAUUUCUUCGAUUCGGGUAACUAUUGGUAAUAUAAUUUAUCAGAUGUUUGAAUUAAUGGCAAAGAACUUAUUUAUUGACGUGUAAUGUUUUUCAUGCGACAUACGAUCACUCAAACUUUCGUCAUUCUUUUAAAAAUGUGCUACGGUAACCGACAGCUAAGAUACACGAAGAAAUAAUUGAAAUAAAUUAAUGGUAUCUGUCUACGUUCCAUGUGAAAAAUCGUUGCUUGUCAUUUUCAUCUUCGUAUUUAGUUACAGUCAAUACACUUGCUUUCAUACCUAACCCGAUAUAUUCAGAAAGAACUGUUCAUUACCAAUUAUCUUAAAUUAACCGAUCGGUGGAGUGCCGAUCGAAGGUAACGAGAUGACGAAGAUACAUGGAUCAGGUGUUAAUUAACUGGUAUCUCGAUUACGGAUUGGACCCGUUAAAUGCGCGAGAACGUUAGAUAUAUGGUAGGACUGGAGAUUGGCUUCAAGAUGCAUUAUAUGUGGAUUAUGUCGAGGAUCAGUUUGCGAGCUUGAUACUAGGUCAGUUUAGUUACCUUGCUCGGAAGAGGUACGAGCACCGGAUGUUCUUUGGGUAGGAGGACGGGUACCGUGGCGAGUAGAAGCGUCCGUAUUGCCGUUUUGACUGUGAACUGACAAACUCGAGGUCGCACAUUGUACCAGGAAUCAACACGCCGUCCGUCUCGAACAAUCCUGGAACAAAAACAGACGAUGAUACGUACGAAACUGUGAAAAUACCAUAAACGGAAGAUACCGGGGUCGAUUCACAGUGGCUUAUAGAAGCCUAUAAUCUCUUCUUUGUUCUGACGAAACAAAGAAGGAGCCGUUUUUAAGACAUCGUCGAGGAAAUGGAUCGACUCAAUUAACGAACAAAACAUUUCCUUCGGGGGGGAAAUUAUUUUGAUGGAUUUCACGUGUACUGCCUCUUGGCAACAAUAUUCCGAAUAAUCACGUAAUCACAAGACAAUGAGGAAAGGAGAACAAGAUGCUUGCGGUAGUGUUCGCAACCGCAUGAUAGACCGCAACUACUUAUCUUGACAAAUGGCGAUUAUCUGCCUCAGGGACGUUUGAUUGACGUAAUCAGGCUGCAAUAUAACGAUACGUCAACACCUAAAUACAGUAGGAUCUAAUCGUCGAAUUUACAUCCGCGUCAAGAAGCAAAGACAUAAUAAAACAUAUGAUUACGAAACAAUGUAGAUUCUGGUUUUAUCGAAGUACGACGAGAUUUAUAUUUAUUUCUGUUGCGUAUUUUUCUUUCUAGUAGUAGUAGUACUAUACUCAAAUAACUAUAAUAAUUCAGUGGCAGUAUUUUCAUAUGGCAAUAAAAACUUGAAACAGAUGGAAGUAGAACCUGAUAGAGAGACGGUUUAUUGGCAGACAAAUGUAUAUUCAAACAUUUUUUACUAAACUGUGAUAGUUUACUGAAUGGCAAAUUGUAAUCUUGAAUUAAUUUCAUUUAGACAUUUCAUAUAUCUUUUAUUUUAGCUGUUUAACGCUCUAUUCUUUUAUCAGCCUCGGAGAGUAGGUCUCUCGCAGCAUCCAAGUUUCUUUGUCUUGUACUAGAAAAGUAUCAUACUAACCUGAUGUGUGUGUGUGUGUGUGUGUGUGUAUGCGUGUGUGUGUGUGUGUAUGCGUGUGUGUGACACAACGUAGUGAGUAUCUUUCACGCGACGAUCGUACGUGUGCAAAACACUUAAUGGCGAACAUCCGGCGUCGCGUACAUCGCUAUAAAAUUGCUCAGCCAACGGAAUAUCCAGGAGCCAAGGUCGGUGAGGCAAAGAAAAUUCACGAAACUUUGUUUCGUGUGUUGGUAGAAUAGUGAAAGAAACAAGCGAAUCUGUAGUUGCAAAACGAGAUAAAAGUGCACGUUGCGUUUUAAAGUACUAGGAAGAUCAACAUCAAUAAUGUUGAGAAGAGAUUGAAUAUGGAACACGUUUUGAUUUUCUCUUCGUGUUUCCCCAGAGUUGAAAGACUCGAGGGUGAAGUACAUUAUGAUAUAUCAAGUCUGCCACUUUAUAUACCGCAUUUUUAUACCACAAGGGACACUACUCUCUGUGGUACAGAGCUAAUUGUCAGUAUUUUUCAUCCGAUAUAACUCUUGGCUAGAUGAUUUAAGAUUUUCAUUUGGAAUUUAUAUUUAAUUUAACCCAGAUAUUCUUGAAUUGUUCCUUUUUAUAUCGUUUCACAAAAUAAUGUUAUCUCAAUUAAUUCGCCUUAUUACGACUUUUUAGUCGAUUUCCGGAGUAUAUAUAAGCCAAACAUUAGGACUCCUAGCUUCAGCUUUUACCCUUUAGCUACAGUAGUAACUUUGUCGAAGUUUAGUUGCUGCUCAUAUUAAAUCGAAACUCUGACACUCAGCAACAGAUCCAGUUCAAUUCCCUCGCGUACCAUUUCUGUUUCAAACUAUCUUUACACCUUUCGGUGUAUGAAGCUGAAAAACAUAUUCUCAGCCGUUCGAAGUAUCAACUUACAUAAUUAUACCACCUUUUUCGUUCCUUCGUUCGAAUUAUUUAAUAUCACCCGGCAAUUAAUGCGCUUCGUUACCCUUCCCCUAUUCUGCUUGUUCCUUCAAUUCCUCAAACCUGUGUACUUAUGUAUAAAACAAUGCUCCUUUUAUACCUCGUAUAAAACACGUGUAUAGCACGCUUGAUGUGGUUGAGCCCCUGCUGUUACAUCGCAAAGUUGACAUCAUUUCUCUGAGUUAACUUUGGAAUAUGUAUAAUCCGGUUGCUGCAACAGCGUGAUCUCGUACACAAACAAGCGGUUCUCCGUCAUAUGUAUACACAAGGUACAUAUGUAUGUACGACGAAUCAUGGUAUUUUUUAACGAUUGAUACUGUUUUAUAAAUUUCAAAAUUCUUGUCCAUAAAAAUAUACGUAUGUAGAAUUAGGUAAGCUUAGUUAAAACUGUUAGUUAAAAUAAAAAUUUUAUCAGUAUCAGAAAUCUUCAGUAUGAGAUAUUGUCACUAUAUUUUUCUUCUAAUUUCUACUUUGUAGUUAUAGUACAUCUUUCAAACCUGCUGAUGUUAUGUAAUUUGUAUAAAUUUAAAAUAUAUAUUGAUCUGAACGCUACGCCACUAAUUAUUACCAAUAACUAUUGGUUGGAAUCAAUGCCAAUUUGAUUGAUUCUUGGUACUGUAGCCCAGUACCAUCCAUAGCUGUAUAUAUGUAUUGAAUAGCUGGCUCCGAUGCAUCUGUGUAAGAAUCGCAAGCAUAGAAAGCAUGUGAUCAAUACCGAAGUUUCCCAUGGAAAUUAUAUUCACACACUUUAUUUGUUUAAAAUUUUAAAUCGUCCCUUAGUGAGUUCGUUCUCCGGGGAUAAUCGGCCUAUAACCAAUUGAUGUUCAUUUUGACAGACACGUAUAUACAAAUUUAAUAAAUUAUAUUAUACGUGACAAAUGUCCAUUUAGGGAAAUUCUAUGAUUUGUUGCAUACACUACCGGCUGUAAUUAUUUGGACACUAGCAAAUUAUUGCAAAUACAUAAAAAGAAUUUUAAGUGAAACUCUUUAAUUUAACUUUUCAAACAUUCUUCUAUUGCAAUUUUGGAAAUAUAAUAAAGUAUAUAAUAUUAUGCUCCUGACUAUGCGUAAAUUUUUCAAAGAUCUCAAUUGGAUCAUGACAGGAUUCCACAUAACAAAAUUUACGUUCCUUUGAUCCAGCACUUGCCUACAAAUUAACAGUACAAUGUCGAGUCAUUUUGAUCCACGAAUAAAUCGGCAAGAAUUACUAUUUUUCUCCGUAAGUAUAAUUAUUUGCAAACUGUUAACUUUUAAAGUAAGAAAAAUAUUUGUCUGUAUUUCGUUUAAAAUUAAGGGAAGUUAUGUAUCAGUGAUCGUUUCCUUUGAAAUGCUGCUGCGAAAAUGAAUAAUUAAAAUAAAAGAUUCUGAUAAAAACGUAGACGGUGCGCUCUUAAAUUCUCAUUACUAAAAUUAGAAAGGCCAGUUAUUAAAAAUUCUGAAAGGACUUGGGAAGUUGCAGUCUCGCAGUUAAAUGACACGACGCUAUUAAGUGCUUCCCAUGCAUAUUCAUGUCGUCGAGCAUUAGCAUACGGUGUCGCAAGGGCGCGAAAAAGAAUCCAUGAAACUCGUUUUGAAAGUGAAGCAACUGAAGAAAGUGAAAGUUUAACGGUCUACACAGGACAGGAAUAUCUAUUAUACUAAAAUGCUCAGAAAAUAGUAAUCUUAUAAUCAUAAUUUUCCUAUAUAUUUCACACGUCGAAUUACCUAUCUAAUGUCGUAUUAUUUAUUUAAUUUUCAUAAUAUAAUAGAAUAAAAUAACAAAGGGAUAAUACGUAUUCCAUAUUGCUUGCAAAAUAUUGAACGUGUAUUAUGAUUUUUCCUAUAUUUCUUUUAAUUUAGAGAAUUGCUGCUUAUAUUAAUUCUUUAAGAUAAUUUAGCGAUCAUAACAUUUAUAAUUAAUCAUCAAGCACGAUUAUGGCAUCAGACUUCUAUAAAGGUAGCAACACACAAAGAUCGAUUACUCUAUAUCAUGUCAUGGAGUUAUAGAACUUCCGACACUUGUAACAACAUUACAGUACAUUACCUUCGUUAUAACUUAAUUUAAUAAAGCCAUCUUAGGAUAAAUGAGUUAUACUGUCAAAAUAAACGGAAACUCAGUUAUGCACAUGUUUGGUUCAUAAAUCUCAUUACCAAGACAACUACGUCAUUAUCAAUUGUCUUUAUUUCUUUGGAAUCUGUACUUAAAGUUAGUAAUAUGCGAACUUAUUUCAAAUAGACAUAUUAUAGAAUAGAAUAAGAUAUAUUAUCACUAGCGUUUUAAUUAAAUUACUAUCCUUUUAAAUAUUUUUCUCUCAGUUCUGUAAGCCGUAUUACGAAUCAUCAAAGCUUUGAAAAAUACAGUCUACGAGUAAAAGCUUCUUCGAAUUAAUAAAAGUGAAAGCUAGUUCACGCGCGAUGGACGCAAUAACAUAAUGCAACGAUGUUAUAUACGAAAGGCAAGGGAACGUCAUGAAUUUAAUUUUGCAAUGUUAAAGGAUAGUUAGAUGCACAGUUUCUACUCGCUUGUCGCGUACGCUGAUAUUCUCCGUUUCGAGCGCUGGUGUACGCACGAAUGCUUUUUCUGACAACUUGGACCAUAACCCGACAACCCGUAAAAUUUUCGACCGAUGAAAAUUUCAGUUAUCGCAUAUAUCCACCGCUUCUCGAGCUUCCAUGUCCCCGCUUUCCCCCUUCGAAUUUUAGUUAACUUAUUGUGACGGCGGCUGUGAGCAACCGCUUGCGAAACUGUGUCGACAAAGUGCUCAGUGUUCGUGCGGUUAGUUAGCGAGGUCGAUGAGAAUUUCUUGUGAUCAGUUGCUUUUUAAUUCAUAAUUUUUCAUUCGAGGGCUUUUAACGUUGCCCUUCGCUUGGAACACUUUUAACGUAUUUAAAUAAACUACAUGAUCAAAGAAAAUGUUUCAAACUCUUGGUUGACUCGUGAAUCUUUGCUGCAAACGGUGAUACUUUUAGAUGAUUUCGUAUUUCGAAUUUUAAAAUUUCAUGGUUAUUGGAUGACAUAUUUAUGGUAUUUCGGUUUUCACUUGUGUUUUUAAAAUAUACUCCGAUACAAAGUUAGUUGAUUCAGAACGACAAAUAUUGUGAUUCAUAACUUUUUUCCUCUGGUGUCCUCCUUUUGGACUUUUUAAGCUCAUCAACAUUUUUUAACAGACGAAUCCUGGGUAUCGGAUGUAAUUUAGAUUUAUAAACAAGUACGUAUCGAACUGAAUUCUAUCACUAUGUAGUAUGCAGAUUUUCAAGUUAAAAAACAGCAGUUUUGUUACAUGCGAUUAUAUUAUAGACAACCCUCUUUUUAAGAGUUUUAUUGUUAAAAUUACUCAAAGAUCAUCUGAUAAGCUCUCUAUUCUUUCAAAAAGUCUAUUCUAUCACAUUCUCCGGUUUUAUGUUCAGAAUCUGAUGAGCACGGUCGGAAGUUCUCUUGUUUCCUCCGAAAUGUAUGUCGCAUGACGUAGCGUAUGACAUCAAUAGGACAUCUUAGUCUUUUAUAUUAAGCGUCGUUUCUUGCUUCUUGGCCAUUUAACGAGACUCGACCCUUUAAUAAUCCUUAAUACUAAGCAGAAGUCUUCGUUAAACGUUACUUCUGCAAUAUACAUCCAUAUACGUGUAUUGCUCGCUCAUACAUAAAAAGUGAUUUCUAUAGUUUUUAAGCCGCAGCGUAAAUGCUUGGUGCGGUAUAAACGCCAGCAUUCAACGUUUCGCUGGUAUUUUGUACACGUUCUUCCAUGUAAUUUUAAUACAGCAUCUUACGAAACAUCUUCAUAAAUCGGCUUUAGAACAUUGUGUACCGCCUCACAGAGAGGAGACUCUUGAUUAAAAUUUUCAGCGUAAUUUUACGCUCCGUGCACGUCGAAUCUGUACGCGCAUAUUGAAAUGUUUGCGUUGUCAUAGAACCGAAUCCAGAAUUUUAUAUGUUUUAGCAAAUAUAGAGUUUUGAACAAAUAUAUGCUUGAGAUAUACAGUAUUAAAAUAUAUAAAAGAAAUAAAGCUCGAUUUUAUCUUGCAAAAGUACACACUCUUUUAAAUCCUGCUUUUCUUCUCGAUUGCCACAGUCCCCGGCGUUUGCAAAACGGAAUCGUCGUUGAUCCUUUGCAAACAAUCGAUCGUUCCUCUUCAUUGAUUUGUGCAUUUGAUAGGCAAAGCUGAAUUUAUUGAACGGUACUUCAUUUUGAAAUAACAUAAACUAAACGGGCUGCAGUGCAGCACGGAUAUUGGCUGCUCGAAUCCAUUGACAGAUAAUCUCUGGCAUAUUGCUUGACUACUCCAGUUACCGUUUCUUUAACCAUUUCAUUUCACCUAUCUAUUCUAGGAGCAAUACCGAAAUGAAUUUCCGUUAUCUCGGUACACUUUUCGGAAGUCAGUGCAACAAGCGAAUAAACAUUCAACAUGUUAACCCCCUGCUUUACCCAUUUUCCCCAGCAAAAUCUUUCCUGAAAAUAUCAAUUAUCUCUUAUCUCUUAUUUUUAAUUUUUUUGUAAUCUACAUCUACGUAUGGACAAAGAGACGCACAGAAUGGUUCAGUGUAAUUAUUAUUGUUUAAGAAACGACUUAUAUAUUGUUAAGUAUACAAGCACAGAAAUUUGACGCUGCGAAAAUGAAAUAUGAAACCUGAUGAGGAAAAGCGACUUAAUGGGCAAAUAAUAGCACGUGGCAAUACUUUUCAUAGCUGCUGUAGAUUAUCCAUCCAAGGUAUCCAUCCGAAACAGAAAUAUUAGGAGAACAAUUCUCAAUUGUAUAUAUACCAUUACGUAGGUGUGUCUUGUGUCAUCGUGGAGGAACAGGAUGCCUUUAUGGCUCACCAACAUUGGCUGCUUUCUUCCCACUGCUUCGUGAAUCCGUUAUCGUUAGUAGUAGAGUAUUAUCCUAUCAGGGUAUUGAUAAUUCAAAAAUAUAAACGUCGUAGAAUCAGUUUCACUCUUUAGGGGGCCAGUAUUUUUUCAUAAAAAUACUGACGUUCAUUUUCCAAAAUUUGUUAAGAUUAUAUUUAAAAAUAAAGAUUAAACAAAUUUUUCACCUCUUGAGAGAUGAUGACUCUUAUAAUAGUGAUAUAUAUAUGUGUAUGUGUGUAUGCGUGUAUGUAUGUAUAAAUUCGAUUUCUGUCAAAACUAUUCUGAUGAUUAUAAAAUAUUUCUACACGUUUUAUGACAUUCUGUUUCACUUGAUCGCAAAAACAUUAAUAUAAAAGCGGUAAUACAGCGAACAAAAUUCAAGUUCAUUGUAUAUACAAUGCUUUGAAAACCUGCGUGUAAAUUAAUACGGUGGAAUGCUCUAUUAAUUAUGGUGGAACUGUUCGCUUCUCAUUAAAAUCUUUAACGUGUAAAACUCGAACAAAAUUUAUUUCUAAUUUUUAGGGUAUAAAACUUUAAUUAAACUGAUAAACGUUUUUCACUUUUUUAUAUCCAAGAAAUUAGUGCAGUCUGUCCCGUCGAAUACAGAAUUUGGUAAUACGGAGAGAAGAGGCAUACUUGAAAAUCAUAACCGUUGACCGGCUCGUGCGAAGCACGAUCUGAAAAUUCCACUCGGCAAAAAUUUCUGUUCCUCCCACGCUUCCAACUUUUCCAUUUUACGCGGCGGCGGGAGACUAUCGAAAACUGCGACGGCAAAGUGAACGCGGAACACGAUGUCAAACAUUGAAAAUCGACAAGAACUUUCCUCUGAGUUUGCAUAUCCCUGUCAUUGAAAAAGAGAUAUUCAAAAAAACGUUUUCGUUCGUUAGGCAAAAUAUGAAACUCAAAGAUUGACGAUAUCCUAACAUAUGUUACACACGUUUUAUAAGAAUUUAAAGUUUGCAGUCUCGUAGAUCUUCUGGGACGCGUAGAAAUACAUGUAUAUUCAGUGCAUAUUUGAUUUUCUUAUUCUUCCAAAUAAAAUAUACAUUGUAGAAUAUAGUACAUAUCAUAAUUGUGAAUAAUUCUUUCUUAUAAACGGUAAGUAUUAGAUCUGCUAUUCGUUAAUUUAUUAGAAACUGAUUAAUGGAUAUCGUAGUGACUUUUGAUUUAUAUACAUACACACAUGGAAAUUUUUCUUUUAUUUAUUAGCCCUACCGUGUCAUUCCGGACAUUUACGGCCCAAUUUUAUUUUUUUAACGUUAAGAAAUAUCCGACUCAUGUGCAAGAUAAGAGUAAAUAGUUACUGAUACGCGUGAUUUUUUAUUAUAACUUUAUAUUAAACAUUUUGUUAAGAUAUUACAAAUAUGUUUCAUCUGUUAAAACGAGAGCAAAAUUGAAAUAUAGAAAUUCGGAAAUCUCGCAACAGGGUUAAGACAAAUUCACACGUGAAAUGAAUAAUGAUUUGAACGUGGAUAAAUUAUUCAAAAUAUCAUCGACGAAGAAUUUCUCUUAAAUUUUAUUCAAACAUGAUACGAAAGUACUUCAUGUUGUACAUAUAUUAUGAAAAAUUACAACGCACCAACGUUAUUUAUUCAUACAAUAACUAUUGGAUUGUAAAUUAUUACGUAUUCACCCAGGCAGAAAAAUACAACGUAGAUUUUAUCGAUCAAUAGAUUUUAUAAUUAUUACAUACGAAGACUACAGAGGAAGAACACGAUAGGCCACAUUUUCCAUUUUUCAUACGCGAGCACUAAAAUUCUAAAAACUAUUAUUUAAAAUCCAGUACAUCGCUAAUUAACCUCGCGUUACAGAGAUUGUCCCUUUAUUUGAUUGUUGGACUAAACAUAUGUUCUUUUGCCUCUUGAUAACUUUAAAAAUAUUGCUUGCCAAAAUAUUAAUAUAUCGGAAGAUAUUAAAAUAUUGUUUGUCUUAAUGCUUAUACCCCUAACUACAUAAAAUGUCGUGAAUUAUAUUAUUUUUGUCGAUUUUACAUUGAAAUAGAAUUAAACAUAACUAGAAUAAAAAAAAAAAAAAAAUGUAUUCAUCGAAAAUGUGUUUCCCCCAUGAUGUUCACAUUGUACAUAUUUAUAAUUGUUUUACAUGCACAUUUCGCUCUCAGCGUGAUAUUUACAUUUAUCUCGAUCUUUUGAUCCGAUGUAAACUACAUCGAAUGGAUGGAAAUAUGAGGAGAAAGCCAGUACCAAAAGGGAACCGUAGUCGAGAAGGAACAAAAUCUCGUUGUCGCGAAAUCGUACGGCCGUAAUACGUUUCACGAUACGCAGGUAUUAUACGGUACACGAAAUUCAGCAGGCAACGUUCCGGCGGAUCUCAUCUGAAUAUUUUACACGCCGCCGCAAUGCCGGAGGUGUCGCGCAUGCCGACCUGUCGAUGCAUAAAAUUUUGCGUCACAUCUUCAAACAUUCUCCGACGAAAAUGAAAGUAAACCAGAGAGUACGAAUGAAAACGGAAGGUCCUAGCGAAAAGAAAGGAAAUAAAACGAAAGGAAAGAAAUAUAAAAUAGACGAAAGUUGAGAAUAAGUUGAGAAAUAAUGGAAGAAAACAGAAUGAGAAAAGGCGAAAGCAGGGGGGAAUUGUGAAACAAAUGAAAUAAAGGAAAGAGUUAGGUGUAUAGAAGAAAAGUAGGAGAAAGCACAGUAACGUCUCGCAGGGAUCAUACGCGGUUCAAAAGUUAAGAAAGUUCGCAAUGGAAUCAAGUUUGAAACGCGUCCCUCGGACGUGCUGAAUCGUGUCUCGGAGGAUCCUGAAUGGCAACGUGCCACAUAUAUACAUACAUACUUGCAUAAUCUUCGCAUUCGUUUUAAUGGUAUAUCCAUGACACGCGAGACUCAGACGAGGAAGAAACCGUCGCGUUAUUACGACAGGCUCGCACGUCUUACGGUGUCACGUUAGAACCGUGACACCUUAAGAUUUCUUGCUUGACUCGUGACGCAUUUUUCCACCGCGUGUACGUCACUGUGCUUCACGAUUCUGAACGUUCUACGCCAACGUCUAUCAAGUUUCCACGCACCUUAGGGAAAUUGACUAUGAUGUCUAUAAGCUUAAUAGAAGUUGCAUUAAGACUGGCAGAUUAUAUUUUGACAACUACUUAAAUGAUUUUCUAGAUUUUCUAACUUUCAAGAUGAUUAGAUCGACGUACACAGUCGGCUGUGAAUACUAGAACGUGUCUAUUCCUUACAUUUAUCGAAAAAUUCUACCAAAUUUUAUUUCUUAUAAUAUUCCAUAUUAUAAGGUUCGUAUAACGCGAAUGAAAUAAUAGAUUUCUAAUAAAAUAAUUAGAAUAUAAGAGCAAUGAAAAGUAUUUCAUUUGUACCUUUGUACCUUUCAUGUGUACAUCGAUUGGCGCCCUAAUAAGUAUUUUAUGGUCAUCAGUGUACGUACAAGAGAAGUAUCUUUCUAUCUGCAUUGCCGCUGCACUGCGCGAAAUCUUGAAAGAUUUACCGCGAGUCCUUUCCAGGUGAGUCGCUCGAUGUGAACGGUUUACAAAAGAUCCGCGAUGAGUACCGUUUUUUACCAUCUUAAACGCUUUGUCCGCGCUAACAAGAAUAGAAAAGGAAGAGGGAAAAGGAGGUUUAAAUGUUCCUUGUGAGUAAUACCGCGCAAGCGAACGUUUCCACUUCCGCGGAGCUCAUCGUUCCGAUCCUCUUCUUUGCCCGCACGAACAAUGCCCUCGACUCUUUUCGAAGUUUCGGUCAAAUUUAGAGCCUUCGAUGAUCCAUGGGAUUAAGUUCCCAAUUGUACUCGGACAUGCAAAUUUUUUUACUUUUUUAAAAUAUUCUACUUUUUUUUUGUUUCUUGUUUUGUAAUUAAUUUGACACUCUGCAAGUGUUAGGAUUCCUUAGAACGCGAUUUACAAAAAAUGCAAUCAGUUAACUACGUAGCUAAUGUAUAUUAACAGUAAUGUACUAUGAGUACUAAUAGCAUUUGCAUUAGGGCGCGGGACAUUUCUUGGCUCAUUACGCUGUUAAUUUCCAAAUGAAUCUCAUAUACAAUAUCGAUAUAAUGCAGUAACUUUUGGAGUUCUUGUAGUAAUUAGAAAAUUCCAGUGGACUCAAUAACUAUAUUUUACCUGGGAAAAUGAAAGCUAAAUGUUUAUAAUAUAAUGUUUAUUAUAAAAACAUGAUUUUCUUGAUAUUACUAUCAAUUUUUAUUUCACGAUACUAAGGUGACAUAACGUUUCUUAAUUCAAUUCACUAAUUCUAUAUUUUUAAAUUUUAAUUAACAAGCGGAAAUUCUAAUUAAACAUAGAAGGAAACAUUAUAACCGUGUAAUACAUACAACGAACGAACUAAGUAUCGCAAGAGACAUGGAUUUUUUGCACGUUAAAAGAGAGCAUACCCAAAACUAACACAGUAUCGCGAGACACGGGACUAAUUAAAACACUUGUCCCCUUAAAGUCCAGUGGCAAAGGUGGCCACUGCAAUGGAGACCUUCUUUCUUUGCCCUUCACUGCGCUAUAAAGCUGGCAAUCCUUAUAAACCCAGACUAAGUAAUCUUAUUUUAUUACGCUGGGAAAGUAGUAAAAUAUAAAGACCUUUAUAUGUCCGCUGUAACUUUAUCCAGUUACAAGACGGCUUUGUCAACAAUAAACGUGUUAAUCCUUUUGUUCUGUACAUAAUAGCGGGUUUCUUUUCUAUUUGGCGAAUUUUGUAUUUUUCGUUAUGAACAUUUCACUUUACGUAUGUAGGUAUUAUAUAUAGUUGUGCUCUACCACUCGAAACAUUUUGCUAAUUCUAAUCCAGCUUAAGAUACAGUAUUACGAGUAAUUCUAUUUAACGCUUGUUUAUUCGUCCAGUUCGAAAUGAUAUGCGAUUGUGCGACUAUAUUAAUUCAUUCAAGUUGAUAAACCAGAAUAAAGGUAAUGGUAGAUUAUUUUAUAAAGAAGAUAAGUGAUCAUAAAACAUAGAUGUGCAAGAUUAUUUUAUGAAAUGUUCAACGAUACGGAAUAAAUUUAAGUCAUUAGAAAUUUGCAUAAUUACAAGGCUAUCAAAAAACCAAACUUACGAAACUAAAACGCAAGAGAGCACACACGUAGUUAAACGAAAUAUGUACGAAUAAAGAGGUAAGAAGCGGGUAGAAAAAUGUGUAAAGAUGUAAAAUAUUCCGUAAAAUAUCUCGGUCGUAUCAGCAUUAAGAGAUAUGUGCACGCUACAUACGGUGUAAUGGAAAUGGAUGAUCAAAUUUCAAUAUCGCGUUUUGCUUUUCCUACGGAGAGGAAAAGGGGUGAAGAUAAAUUCUAUAAAUACAUGUCUGGAACUCUUGAUUCUCAAGAUUGAAACAUCUUUUAAAAUUUCUCAAAAAUGCUAUAUGUAGAAUUACAGGGACCGUUAUCAUCCCCUUCCUUCGUGAAAAUUGAUAACAAUAGCAUUGAUGAUUUAGUCAGUCAUUUUGACAAGUAAAUCGUAAGAAUUUCGUACUUAACUGAUAAGAAAUAUAGUUAGAAUUAAAAAAAUAUUAAUUUGCGUAAAUGUACGUAGCCUAACGAUAAAUUAAAAAUAUACACUGUCACAGUGAGAUGCGAAGAUUCAACACGAUAAACACGAACAGGACGAUCCAGGAAGAAUCUAGAGAUCAGUGGUAACAUUAAUUGCCAAAAAGGAACUGUUCCAUGUUUCUCUGCAAAGUUCCGCAAAAAAAAAAAAAAAAAGGAAAAAGAAAAAAAAGGGAAUCCACGUUGAGUUUACGGAAAUUGCAUUGCCGGAAGCUGCACGAAAGUGCUUCAUAGCUUGGCGCAGGGAAAAAUUACUUUGACUGAAACUGAACUGACCCAACGAAGAUCUGAAAAUUAAAUUUAUCCGAUUAUUCUUUCAGCUGGAAAUCUUUUCCUCGUUAUAUGCAUCAUUCGACUGUCGUUCAUCUAUCAAUUCAACCAUAUUCUAUCUGUACCUCUGUGAAAAAGUUCUUUAGAAAA